rnacentral:rRNA from 1 species
AUGGAAAUAAAAUGCAGACCGAUGUGCCGGACGGUGUCAGACGCGGUGCACGUGCUGGACGCCAUCGUCGGCUACGACGAGCAUGACGCCACGGCCACCAGAGCGGCAUCAAAGUACAUCCCCGACGGCGGGUACGCGCAGUUCCUGAAGAAAGAUGGGCUGAAAGGGAAGAGGAUCGGCGUCCCCAAUGGCUUCUUCCAGAGAUAUGGACAGGCGCAGCUGAAUGUGUACAAGCAGCACCUCGCCACAAUGAGGAAACUGGGAGCAGUGGUGGUGGAGAAGCUGGACGUCGCUGCCAAUUUGAUUGCUCUAUUGGAUGAGAUUGGUUCCAACGAGGCGAUUGCCAUGCAGGCAGAGUUCAAGCUAAGCAUAAACGCCUACUUGGCAGACUUGAUCCACUCCUCGGUCCAUUCGCUUGCAGACAUCAUAGCUUUCAACAACAAGCAUCCUGUGGAGGAGAGGCUGAAUGAUUUCGGGCAGCCUGACCUUAUCGCGGCCCAAAACACAAACGGCAUUGGCCCCAGGGAGAGAGCCGCGAUCUGGCGGCUCAAGGAGCUGAACGCUGAAGGGCUAGAGAAGCUGAUGCAGGAAUGCCAACUGGACACGAUCGUGGCGCCUAACAGCGUUAUUUCUAGCCUUCUCGCCAUCGGUGGCCAUCCUGGCAUCGUUGUGCCGGCAGGUUACGACGAGAAGGGGGUCCCCUUUGGCAUAUGUUUCGGCAGGUUGCAGGGGUACGAGCCGAGGCUGAUCGAGAUGGCAUAUGCUUUCGAGCAGGCUACCAAAGUGAGGAGGCCACCCAUGUUCAAGCCCUAG